UGUCUCAAGGUCUGCUUCUGGGGCAACUCUAAGACACCCUCCUAAUACUUACUAUAGUCGCCUACCUAAAUUGAGUGCAUCCGCCGCCUCAUUCUGAAGUCAGGGUGAAUGAGGUGCUCUUGUUCACAAUGGUGUCACAAUGCUUGACAUACUGCUCAUGAUUAGUGCCAAUAAAUAUUAUCUGAUUGAAGAAGACACAGUAUAGCCUGUGGAAGAGCUUAACCAUCUGGCAGGGAAGACAGACAUGGGCAGAUAGGUGACAACUCAGAGAAAUAAGGGGAGCAAUGAAAACACACCCAAAGGCAACACAGAACGGGGAGUGAUUCAUUGUAUGUAAGGUGCCGAUGGAAAGACCUCCGGGUGUUAAAUGACUGACUGGACCAGGUGGGAAAACAGGGAAGAAGUUCAAACAGAAACCGGAGCAGAGGUCAGCCUGUCCCCUGUGACUUAUUUCUGAGGCCCUGGGUGAGAGAGGCUGUAUCAAAACUGAGUGUGACAUGGAGAGACUGAGGCCUCAGCAGCACAGCCACCAGUGACAAGAACAAAGAACCUGUGAUAUGGGUAAGGCCCCAGACCCUGGCUCUUGGCCUUGCUUUGAAAGACACCAAGACUAGCAGGACUGAAUAGCAUCAUCAGACACGACAGGCAUAGUUGCACUUG
rnacentral:lncRNA from 1 species